CCACCUCUUGGUGCAAACGCCGCUAACCCUAACAGCCCUCGGGUUUGCCUUUGCCUUGAGCGAGGGGCCGCCGCAGGCAGGUUAUUAGAUGGCUCCAGGUGGUCAGUCCCAAGAGGAAUUAAACACUCCUUUUGCGGGCACCUGCGGGCAAGUGGAAGCUGUAAGGACGGGCAGGAGGAAUUCACUCCAGCAUGAUUCAACCUGCAUAACAUAAAAUUCUCUACGGGACAUGUAAAAUAUUAAACAAAAUGCAGCAGUCACUCUCGAACCCCACCCUGCAACCUUCUGCUUUGGCUUCCAGAAAAUUGCCUGUGAAAUUAGAACCCAUUCUUUCAAGAAAAUGGAGGUGAUUCAACCUUCGAUUACACUGAUUGGAGGAGUGAGUGGAUUUGCAUUUAGUGGCCAACACAUGCAAUCUGCCACGGGGAGAGCGCAGAAAAUGCCAGGGCUUCUGCAACUCUCAUAGUACUGUACCAGCCACAGAGUGUCUCCACUACUUCUUCACAGCAUGGGUAGAUGAUUCCAUGCUCGCAGGCCCUAAGGACACAAUCAUUUUACUCAAUAGAAGUCAAGGAAAUUGACACUUUCAUUCAAUCAAGGCUGAUUAUGCUUAGAAUUCAGAUGCUCUGUGCUUAUCAGACUACUUCAUACAGUGUUCCUAUACAGGCACACGUCUAUAAUGCUCACAGACACAUACUCUCUCUGCCCUAUAUAAAUGGAUCCACUUAGAACACACAUUCAAGUAUAUGGAAAUGAAGUACCUAUACUGAGGGCCAAUACCUUAAUUAUUUCUGUAUGGUUCUUGAAAAAUAAAUUGCUGGAAGCAAUUAGCAAUAAAAGGCAACUUCAAAAAGUGACUUCUCCCAGCCCUUUAUUCUGCUUCAUUCCCUCCACCCCAAAAACACCCACAUAAAAUUUGCUUCCUUCCUUCCCCAUCUCCAUUAAAUCCAACUCUUCCUUCAUGUAUGCACUGUUGCAUAUAACAUCCAACCAAUUUGCUGAGAGGGUAGACAAUCAACUGUAACUCCCCUCAACUUCAACUCCUUCCUCACACCCCUUCAAAAGUUUUUUACUGUCAGUUUCUAACAGUAAAACAGGUUUUAACAAUGGGUUCUGAAAUAGUGCUG